rnacentral:rRNA from 1 species
GACGAACGCUGGCGGCGUGCUUAACACAUGCAAGUCGUACGGUAAGGCCCUUUCGGGGGUACACGAGUGGCGAACGGGUGAGUAACACGUGAGUAACCUGCCCACAACUUUGGGAUAACGCUAGGAAACUGGUGCUAAUACUGGAUAUGUGCCCCUGCUGCAUGGUGGGGGUUGGAAAGCUCCGGCGGUUGUGGACGGACUCGCGGCCUAUCAGCUUGUUGGUGGGGUAGUGGCCUACCAAGGCGGCGACGGGUAGCCGGCCUGAGAGGGUGACCGGCCACAUUGGGACUGAGAUACGGCCCAGACUCCUACGGGAGGCAGCAGUGGGGAAUAUUGCACAAUGGGCGCAAGCCUGAUGCAGCAACGCCGCGUGCGGGAUGACGGCCUUCGGGUUGUAAACCGCUUUCAGCAGGGACGAAGCUUUUUGUGACGGUACCUGCAGAAGAAGCACCGGCUAACUACGUG